rnacentral:rRNA from 1 species
GACGAACGCUGGCGGUAUGCUUAACACAUGCAAGUCGAGCGAUGUUUUCCUGGUGCUUGCCCUAAAGAAACUCAGCGCCUCACGGGUGAUAAAUUCGUUCAGACCCUACCUCAUAAACUUGGACAACCAUUUGAAACGAUGGCUCAUACCGCAUAAGAGUCUUCCUCGCAUGUCAGACUAUAUACAGAAGGUUACUCAAAAACUCUGAGUUGGCUUUCCGCUGCAUUAGCUAGUUGGUGGGGUAAAGGCCCACCAAGGCGACGAUGCAUAGCCGACCUGAGAGGGUGAUCGGCCACACUGGGACUGAGACACGGCCCAGACUCCUACGGGAGGCAGCAGUAGGGAAUCUUCCGCAAUGGGCGAAAGCCUGACGGAGCAACGCCGCGUGAGUGAAGAAGGAUUUCGGUUCGUAGAGCUCUGUUGUUAGGGAAGAAUGGAUAUGUAGUAACUAUACAUGUAAGAGACGGUACCUAACCAGAAAGCCACGGCUAACUACGUG